rnacentral:rRNA from 1 species
GCUGGCAGCCAUAUCACCCUGUAGCCCAAGACUGGUUGCCCACUGAAGCUAAGCAGGGCUGAGCCUGGUCAGUACCUGGAUGGGAGACCUCCUGGGAAAACUAGGUUGCUGCUGGAA